rnacentral:lncRNA from 1 species
AUAUUAAUUAUAAUUAUGCAAACUAAACCACACAAAAAUAUAUUAUUAAAACGUAAGAGUUGAAACGAAUUUACCGAAUUGCCGAACAACUUCUUUAAAAUUGAAAAUAGUUGAACACUUGAAAACUUCAAUUUCAUAAUUUUUCACGAAUUUUCAACAAUAAACUAAGCAAUUGUAGUAUAAAGAUUGAGAGAGAUUGAGAGAUAUUGAUGAAUUGGUGAAUAAAAAUGAAAGAAUGAAGGGGUAUUUAUAGUUGAGAAAUGGGAAAAGGUGUAAUUAUAUAAUGUUUGG